UUUUGUGUUGAAGUUUUUAAGGGCGCACGGUGGAUGCCUUGGCAUCAAGAGCCGAUGAAGGACGUGGGAAUCUGCGAUAAGCCUGGUGGAGUCGAUAACCGGACGUUGAUACCAGGAUUUCCGAAUGGGGGAACC
rnacentral:rRNA from 1 species